rnacentral:rRNA from 1 species
GAAUUCCUAGUAAACGCAAGUCAUCAGCUUGCAUUGAUUACGUCCCUGCCCUUUGUACACACCGCCCGUCGCACCUACCGAUUGAAUGACUCGGUGAAAAAUUGGGACCGUGAGUCUGUUUGCUUUAUUGCGAGUGGAUUGAUGGGAACUUUUUUAAACCUCGCCAUUUAGAGGAAGGUGAAGUCGUAACAAGGUUUCCGUAGGUGAACCUGCGGAAGGAUCAUUA